rnacentral:rRNA from 1 species
GUGGCGCACGGGUGAGUAAUGCAUGGGAAUCUUCCAGUUGGAGAAGGACAACUACGGGAAACUGUAGCUAAUACUUCGUAAGCAGGGUGACCUGGAAAGAUGGGGACCGCAAGGCCUAUCGCCGAUCGAUGAGCUCAUGUCCCAUUAGCUAGUUGGUGAGGUAACGGCCCACCAAGGCGUAGAUGGGUAGCUGGUCUGAGAGGACGAUCAGCCACACUGGAACUGAGACACGGUCCAGACUCCUACGGGAGGCAGCAGUGGGGAAUAUUGCGCAAUGGGCGAAAGCCUGACGCAGCAACGCCGCGUGAGUGAAGAAGGCCUUCGGGUUGUAAAGCUCUUUCGGCUGGGAAGAAGGGUGCGCGAGCGAAUAGUUUGUACAUUUGAUGGUACCAGAGUAAGAAGCACCGGCUAACUUCGUGCCAGCAGCCGCGGUAAUACGAAGGGUGCAAGCGUUAUUCGGAAUAAUUGGGCGUAAAGGGUUCGUAGGUGGGAUUGUAAGUCAAGUGUGAAAUCCCCAGGCUUAACCUGGGACGUGCAUUUGAAACUGUAAUUCUUGAGUAUUGGAGAGGGUAGUGGAAUUGUAGGUGUAGGAGUGACAUCCGUAGAGAUCUGCAGGAACA